UGAAUACGAGAUGCUACGGCGUCGAAGCAGUCUAUGUCAUACUUCCAAGAAAAGCUUGCACUGUCAUAAACAAAUAAUGCCUGUACCAUAACCGACACAGGUGGGUAGGUAGAGUAUACUAAGGGGCGCGAGAUAACUCUCUCUAAGGAACUCGGCAAAAUGACUCCGUAACUUCGGGAGAAGGAGUGCCUUAUUUAUAAGGUUGCAAUAACAAGAUCCAAGCAACUGUUUACCAAAAACACAGGUCUCCGCUAAGUCGUAAGACGAUGUAUGGGGGCUGACGCCUGCCCAGUGCCAGAAGGUUAAAGAAGUUGGUUAGCAUCCGCGAAGCUGAUAACUGAAGCCCUGGUGAACGGCGGCCGUAACAAUAACGGUCCUAAGGUAGCGAAAUUCCUUGUCGGGUAAGUUCCGACCCGCACGAAAGGCGUAAUGAUUUGGAUACUGUCUCGGAGAGGGGCUCGGUGAAAUAGACUUGUCUGUGAAGAUGCGGACUACCUGCACCAGGACAGAAAGACCCUAUGAAGCUUUACUGUAACCUGAAAUUGAAAUUGGACUUUACUUGCGCAGUAUAGGUGGGAGGCGUUGAGAAUAUUCUUGCGGGAUUAUUGGAGCCAUCAGUGAGAUACCACUCUUGUAAUGUUAGAUUUCUAACUUUGUAUCAUUAUCUGGUCAAAGAACAGUUUCAGGCGGGCAGUUUGACUGGGGCGGUCGCCUCCUAAACGGUAACGGAGGCGCACAAAGGUUUCCUCUGAACGGGUAGAAAUCGUAUCUAGAGUGUAAAGGCAUAAGGAAGCUUGACUGUGAGACCUACAAGUCGAGCAGGGACGAAAGUCGGUCUUAGUGAUCUGACGGUGCUGAGUGGAAAGGCCGUCACUCAACGGAUAAAAGUUACUCUAGGAUAACAGGCUGAUCUCCCCCAAGAGUUCACAUCGACGGGGAGGUUUGGCACCUCGAUGUCGGCUCAUCGCAUCCUGGGGCGGUAGUACGUCCCAAGGGUUGGGCUGUUCGCCCAUGAAAGCGGUACGCGAGCUGGGUUCAGAACGUCGUGAGACAGUUCGGUCCAUAUCCGGUGUAGGCGUUAGAAUAUUGAGAGGAGCCUUCUUUAGUACGAGAGGACCGAGAAGGACAUACCUCUGGUGUACCAGUUAUCGUGCCAACGGUAAACGCUGGGUAGCUAUGUGUGGAGUGGAUAACCGCUGAAAGCAUCUAAGUGGGAAGCCCACCUCAAGAUAAGUAUUCUCA
rnacentral:rRNA from 1 species